CUGCUUACCUGAAGCCUUCUAAAGCGUUGCAUCAGCUCUCUCUGCUGUUCCAAUGAAGUGGUCUUGUCUUUCUCUUGAUUCAAGUAAUGAACAUUUCUUGGCUUAAUGAAGGAGGAUCACUGGAGACAAUAGAGCACGAAGAAUAUCAUAUACCAGUAAGGAGAUGAAAGUAAUUAUGACACAGGAAAGUAAGUCUUUGAAAUGCAAAAAUAAAGCGUUAUUAUUCUGGCUGUCUGUAUGCAUCUCAGUGACACUUCCUCCUGGUAUUUUUUGCCUGAAAGUUGUGUAUCUAAGAGCCCACCUGCCACAGGAAAUCCUCUAACUGAUGUAUUCCUUGUGCAGUAACUUGGAGGCUUUCUGAAUAUAAAAGGCAUGUGGAAGUGUGUUUUAAAUUUAAACUGGAUGAGAUUUCCCAGUGCCCUGAGAGUUACCUUUUGGAUAACAGACGUUCAGCUGGAUGACAAGAUGCCUCUUAAUGGCAUCGCAGCUGUGAUAAUCCAACCAAUAGAGAUGUCUAUCGAGGGUUCACAACAGCCUGCCCUUGAGCGGAGCCGGAGCCGCCUGGGCAAUGCGCAGCGGUGCCAGCAGAGGGCGCUCGUGGAACGCAGCAGCUCCGGAGCUUUCAAUGGAGAAAAUCCCGCCGCUCAGCGCGGGGCUCCGCUCAGCUCACCGCCGGGAGGGCGGCUGGUUUGGCUCCUGCGCUCGGCACAGCUGUACCAAGGGCAUUAGCCUGUGUAUCUUAACACGGAUCGCCUGCUUCUGGGCAAGUUGCUUCUGACUCACCUACCUGCGUGCCCCGAAAUGGUUUUACGUGCCCGUAACGUGUCUUGUGAUCCCAUUCUGCAGGGGCUGCUUCUGUGUCCUGGGUCCGUGCUUCAGCAGCGCACAGCUUCAGGAUGAGUGCCUCCGAGCUCCUGACCGCGCUGUAGAUGCCCCUGUUUACUGCAGGGAGUUGCACGUUAACGGUCCUUUCUGACUCAAACCAUUCUUUGAUUCUGUGAAGAUAUUCCAUAAAUGGGCUGUGAAAUGCCUGUGUUAUUUGGAACGGAGACAUUUCCCGGGUCUACAGGCGAAGCGUCUGCGUGAGCAAUGCGGAAACGGGCAGCCCCCAGAGGCGGGCGGCCGGAGCGGCUGUGCGGGGCUGGGCUGUACGGAGCUGGGAGCUGGCUGAUGGAUGGGGUGCCUGUGGAGGAGGAGUGUCUGAGGGAACUGGGGAUGUCUGGUCUGGAGAAAAGAUGUUGACCACGGUGAUCCUUUCAGUCCCUUCUAACUCGGGGUAUUCGGUGAUUCCAUGAGGCUGAGGGGAGACCUGCAAUUAUCUGAAAGGAAGUUACGGUGAGGAGAGUGGCAGUUGCUUUUCUCAGGUGACGAGAGAGUGUGAGAGAAGGUGCUCAUGCUGCACUGGGGAUUUUUUGUUGUGGGUGUUUGGAAUAAUUUCUUCAAAGAGGAUAUUCAACCAUUGAGAUGGGCUGCGCCAGGAAGGGUUGGAGUCCCUGUCGCCAAGGACAUCUAAGAGACGUGGACAUGGCAGUAGGAGUUGUUUAGUAAUGGAACCCAGUAGGUCAGGUUAAUGAUUGGACUCGAUGAUCCUGAAGGUCUUUUCCAACCUAAAUGGUUCUGCGAUUCCAACCCUUCAUCAGAAGAGCUGGAGACAGGGGUCAGUCUGAAUGCCUGGAGCCUGGGCAGUGCCUUGUCAGACCUGUUUGAGAGCUCAAAACUGCCCUUGUGUGAGCAGCUGCACAGACUGGUAGCCCUUCCAACCAGUGCUUUUAUGGUUGUUUACUACCUUAGGGAAAAAAGGAGAGAGCUGUUAAACUUUCACAGGCUGUAACUACAAGUGCUGGACUUUGUGUAUUCUCUGUAUUUUCUUAAUUUGCUUAAUGUGAUGUAUGAUUCAUAGAAUUUAAAUUAUGAAAUAGUACAUAAAAUUUAAGGAUAUGAUUUACCUACAAUUCAUUUUUAUUAUGAGAAUUCCUGUUCUGUUCUUCCUAGAAUAGGCUUCAGGAAGAACAUUUAUAUUAAAGCCAGAGUCAUUACUAAAUAAAAUGUUUACAAGCAUUUGAGGCUCAUGGAGGAUACUGAUGUGAUGAUCCACAAUUUAAAACCUGUACACACAAUUUCUCAAGUGACACGUGCUUAUAGGCCAGUUACUCCUAUCAAUGUGAAAACAAGGCAUGUUCUCUGCAUAAUUCAGGCUCUGCUAAAAUAUGCAUAGUGUUCCUGAGAAUUUUCUACAAAUAAUGCCUAUGAGAGACAAUUGAUAAUCCUCUGGAAACAGGCUUUAGCUGAAAAUUACAGGACCAUUAGGAGCAUGGAAUCCCAUGUUGUAAGUAGACACGUCGGUCUUGCUGUGUGUAGAUUAGCACAGUGCCUUUUAAGUCAACCACUAAUACCUUAUUAAAACAUUUGCUAGCAUUCUGCACACAUGCUUCAGAGCAUUUGUGUCUUUCUGAUAACCAGUGUUGUUUCUUCGUGGAUCCCUGCGCAAGCAGUUUAGGUCUUCUGCUUUAAUGCUGUUUUGUUGAUACAAGAGUUCAAGCUCAGAUAAAUGGGGAAAACCACUUGGCAGAGAUGGGGUGGCCCUCCUGAACCCCAGGAGGGUAA